GAACGUUAUUAGAAGGCGCUUGAACCCUGUCAUGGUCGAAGGAGUUCGCGGAGGUGUGGACUCCAGCCGUCCUGCUGGCUUUCUCGAGGAGGAAGAACCGCCCAGAAGACGGAGGAAGGCGGGAGACCAGCCGUCCAAAAGGAGGUCUGAUGACAGACCUGCCCAGAGGACAUCACCUGCGCACAGGACAUCGCCAGCGCACGGACCGUUACCUGUGCAGCAGGCAUCGGCAGCAGCGCGUGGACCAUCAACUGCGCCGCAAGCAUCGCGAGCACACAGAUCGUCACCUGUGCGCCACAGUUCGUCAUCGCGCAGUUGGUCACCUGUGCACCAGACGACAUCAGUGCACAGACUAUCACCUGUGCACCAGACACCGUCGGCGACCACACCACAAGAUGGGCGCCAAACUACAGCUCCUGCGCGCAGGCCAUCACCAGAUCGUCGUCUCUCCAGGAGCUCUGGGACUGUGACUGAAGAGCCUCAAGACACAACCCUUGUGGACCCAUCACUCGAUCUGUUUGAGUCUACAGGGUUAAACUUUUCUUGGGUUUGAGGACAGCCGUGCAGAUGUAUCCAGCCAGACCCUUGAAAAGUCUUCCGAAACGAGGACAAGUGGAGCUCCUGGAGCAGCGGCAUCACAGGAUGGAGAAGUGGUGCCACGAACCAGCAGCGGACUAGCUUCGGGGAUUGGUUCGUACUUCAGGCCGGAUCUCCUACAGGGGUCGUCAGAGGAUGACGAGGUGGAAGUGCAGGAUGAUCCAGUUGCUACAUCCCUGCCUGCCCAAAUGAAUGUGGUGGCAGACAUCCAGGAAGGGCAGAAUCCCUCAACUGUUCAGAGGGUUCACACCCUGGCAUCAGAGAUUGGGACACGCCAGGAUACAUACACAAAUGUUGUGGGAAGCAGACUGGACAACAUUGAGAGGACAAUGGAGAAAAUGUCCAACAAUCUGCAUGAACUGCAGAAGACUAUUUCCGACAGCACGGCCACAAUACUACAGAUCAUAAUUGAAGAUCGUAGG